GAAUUGACGGGGAGCACCACGAACGGGUGGAGUCUUGUCGGUUUAAUUGGAUUCAACGCCGGAAAUCUUACCGGGACCGACAGCAAUAUGAAGGCCAGGCUGAAGACUUUUGCCGGAUUAGCUGAGAGGUGGUGCAUGGCCGUCGUCAGUUCGUACUGUGAAGCAUCCUGUUAAGUCAGGCAACGAGCGAGACCCACGCCCACAGUUGCCAGCGUACUCUCCGGAGUGACGGGUACACUGUGGGGACCGCCGCUGCUAGAGCGGAGGAAGGAAUGGGCAACGGUAGGUCAGUAUGCCCCGAAUAUCCCGGGCUACACGCGAGCUACAAUGGUUGGUACAAUGGGUAUCUACCCCGAAAGGGGACGGGAAUCUCCUAAAACCAAUCUUAGUUCGGAUUGAGGGCUGCAACUCGCCCUCAUGAAGCUGGAAUCCGUAGUAAUCGCGUUUCAACAGAACGCGGUGAAUACGUCCCUGCUCCUU
rnacentral:rRNA from 1 species